rnacentral:rRNA from 1 species
GGAGGAAAAGAAACCAACAGGGAUUGCCCCAGUAACGGCGAGUGAAGCGGCAAGAGCUCAAAUUUGAAAGCUGGCUCCUUCGGGGUCCGCAUUGUAAUUUGCAGAGGAUGCUUCGGGAGCGGUCCCCAUCUAAGUGCCCUGGAACGGGACGUCAUAGAGGGUGAGAAUCCCGUAUGGGAUGGGGUGUCCGCGCCCGUGUGAAGCUCCUUCGACGAGUCGAGUUGUUUGGGAAUGCAGCUCUAAAUGGGUGGUAAAUUUCAUCUAAAGCUAAAUAUUGGCCGGAGACCGAUAGCGCACAAGUAGAGUGAUCGAAAGAUGAAAAGCACUUUGAAAAGAGAGUUAAAAAGCACGUGAAAUUGUUGAAAGGGAAGCGCUUGCGACCAGACUCGCUCGCGGGGUUCAGCCGGCAUUCGUGCCGGUGUAUUUCCCCGCGGGCGGGCCAGCGUCGGUUUGGGCGGUCGGUCAAAGGCCCUCGGAAGGUAACGCCCCUAGGGGCGUCUUAUAGCCGAGGGUGCAAUGCGACCUGCCUAGACCGAGGAACGCGCUUCGGCUC